rnacentral:rRNA from 1 species
AGAUUGAACGCUGGCGGCAGGCCUAACACAUGCAAGUCGAGCGGUAGAGAGGUGCUUGCACCUCUUGAGAGCGGCGGACGGGUGAGUAAUGCCUAGGAAUCUGCCUAGUGGUGGGGGAUAACGUUCGGAAACGGACGCUAAUACCGCAUACGGUCCUACGGGAGAAAGCGGGGGACCUUCGGGCCUCGGCGCCAUUAGAUGAGCCUAGGUCGGAUUAGCUAGUUGGUGAGGUAAUGGCUCACCAAGGCGACGAUCCGUAACUGGUCUGACGAGGAUGAUCGAGUCACACUGGAACUGAGACAGUCGGUCCCAGGACCUCCGUACGGGAGCGAGCGAGGUGGGGAAUAGUUGGACAAGUGGGACGAAAGCCUGACUCCGAGCCAGUCGCCGCGUGUGUAGAAG